CCUACGGGCGGCAGCAGUGGGGAAUAUUGGACAAUGGGGGCAACCCUGAUCCAGCCAUGCCGCGUGUGUGAAGAAGGCCCUCGGGUUGUAAAGCACUUUCAGUGAGGAAGAACGCCUGGUGGUUAAUACCCAUCAGGAAAGACAUCACUCACAGAAGAAGCACCGGCUAACUCCGUGCCAGCAGCCGCGGUAAUACGGAGGGUGCGAGCGUUAAUCGGAAUUACUGGGCGUAAAGCGCGCGUAGGUGGCUUGAUAAGCCGGUUGUGAAAGCCCCGGGCUCAACCUGGGAACGGCAUCCGGAACCGUCAAGCUAGAGUGCAGGAGAGGAAGGUAGAAUUCCCGGUGUAGCGGUGAAAUGCGUAGAGAUCGGGAGGAAUACCAGUGGCGAAGGCGGCCUUCUGGACUGACACUGACACUGAGGUGCGAAAGCGUGGGUAGCAAACAGGAUUAGAUACCCCUGUAGUC
rnacentral:rRNA from 1 species